rnacentral:rRNA from 1 species
GACGAACGCUUGCGGCGUGCCUAAUACAUUCAAGUAGAACGCAUUUGCGAACGGGUGAGUAACGCGUAGGUAACUGCCUCAUAUCGGGGGAUAACUAUUGGAAACGAUAGCUAAUACCGCAUACUUAGAGCUUGACCUGCGUUGGAUUAGAUAGUUUGUGAGUUAAAGGCUCACCAAGGCGACGAUACAUAGCCGGCCUGAGAGGGUGAUCGGCAACACUGGGACUGGGACACGGCCCAGACUCCUACGGGAGGCAGCAGUAGGGAAUCUUCGGAAAUGGACGGAAGUCUGACCGAGCAACGCCGCGUGAGUGAAGAAGGUUUUCGGAUCGUAAAGCUCUGUUGUUAGGGAAGCGGUAACGAACCAGAAAGGGACGGCUAACUACGUGCCAGCAGCCGCGGUAAUAC